rnacentral:lncRNA from 1 species
UUGGAAGCCACAACUCAAAUUAUUAACAAACCAACUAAAGAAAUAACAUUAAAAUGUCCAAAGCAGUAGAGGUCUCAAAUAGAAUACAACAUCGUCCACCAAGAUACAAGGGCCAACAAAACAAAUUGUGUCCAGCAUGAAUUCAAGGCAGUACUCAGCACAGAAAUUCAUUAUUAUUGAACAGAUACAAGGGGUCCAAUUUAAACACGUAGAUAAUGAGUACUAGCAGGUUUAAUUAGGAGAUUUCUACUGGUAUUUGACAUGGGUUUGGCUGUAGUACAGAUCGCCAUAUUUGGAUUCCCGAAUCAUCAUUUCUCAAAAUCACCGAACUGCUCAAAUUUAGUUACUUGAAACAUCACAGCUCCUCAUGUAAUCCUUCUCCAGUUUGGCCACCAUUUUCGUUCCCAUAUACUGAUCAAAUGUUAUCCUGCAUUAAGUUCAUGAAUAAUACAAACAAUGACAUAAAUAGUUAACUAACAAAUGAACUAAAAAUGAAAAGAAUAAUAAGAAUACAAUUUUCUCUCACUUGCACUUGUUGUAAAACCAUCACCACUAUCAACGUAAUCUGGUUCUACAUUUUCUUCUAUAUCAGGACUUUCUUCUACUUCUAUAUUGGACAUCCUAGAGUCAGCCCAGACUACUUAUUCAGCCUCAACAUCGUCACAAGCUAAAUUUUGGCAAUUGAACUCUGAUGUUAUUCGAACAGGUUGAUGGGUAGACGAUGGUUGAUCCUCUUGGAAUACAAGUUGUAACGCCCCAAUUUUUUUCAUUAAGCAUAAACACGGGAACGUUACGAAAACUCAUUUUUCUUUAAUUAAAAAAAAUGCGGAACUAUAUAAAAUUCUUCAAUAAACAAAUAAUUGUAACGUUUAAAUUAAAAUUAUUGAAAGCGUAUCUAACCAUAAACAUAAACUCCUAAGUAAUUCAAAUAAUGCGUUCUAAAUUAAAAUAAACAAAUUGCUAAAUUUAAAAUGGCAAACUUAUUUCUUUUUCUCUAUUCUUUAUCCACUUGGCAGUCCGCAUCACCAAUUCUCCACUGUUCCAAUCGACCCGAACUAAUCUGAAAAAUUAAUGUAAGAGUGAGUAUUAAAAAUACCCAGUAAGAUACGUGCAAAUUUCCAUACACAGGCAUAUAACAAAUAAAUAAUACACUUCAUACCGCUCUUCUCUUAUGGAGUAUAUCGGUGACCAAGCGACACACCUAUAUUAGGUCCUCUUAAUUUUCAUGUAGAAAUUUCAUAUCUCUUUCUCUAGAACCCGAAGGUCCACUAGCAUUCCAUGUAUAUUUAAUCGCAUAUAAGAGCAUAAGGAAACGUAAACACUUUGCACAUAAAUGUAUCUUACCUUGUUAUCGAAAUGUACACGAAAAAUAUUUGAAUGCACGUUCCAAAAUUCCUUCCUCUACUCUGUGAAUGAUUUAUUGAUCGACAGUGAUAGUUGAUGUAUGACAAAUUUC